GACGAACGCUGGCGGCGUGCCUAAUACAUACAAGUUGAGCGCUGAAGGUUGGUACUUGUCCUAACUGGAUGAGCAGCGCACGGGUGAGUAAAGCGUGGGGAAUCCGCCCUUGUGCGGGGGACAACAUACGGAAACGAAUGCUAAUACCGCAUAAAAACUUUAAACACAAGUUGUAGGUUUGAAAGAUGCAAUUGCAUCACUCAAAGAUGAUCCCGCGUUGUAUUAGCUAGUUGGUGAGGUAAAGGCUCACCAAGGCGAUGAUACAUAGCCGACCUGAGAGGGUGAUCGGCCACAUUGGGACUUGGACACGGCCCAAACUCCUACGGGAGGCAGCAGGAGGGAAUCUUCGGCAAUGGACGAAAGUCUGACCGAGCAACGCCGCGUGAGUGAAGGAGGGUUUCGGAUCGUAAAACUCUGUUGGUAGAGGAGAACGUUGGUGAGGGUGGAAAGCUCAUCAAGUGACGUUAACUACCCAGAAAGGGACGGCUAACUACGUG
rnacentral:rRNA from 1 species